UACUCCUACGGGAGGCAGCAGUAGGGAAUCUUCCGCAAUGGACGAAAGUCUGACGGAGCAACGCCGCGUGAGUGAUGAAGGUUUUCGGAUCGUAAAACUCUGUUAUUAGGGAAGAACAAAUGUGUAAGUAACUGUGCACACCUUGACGGUACCUAAUCAGAAAGCCACGGCUAACUACGUGCCAGCAGCCGCGGUAA
rnacentral:rRNA from 1 species